GAUGAACGCUGGCGGCGUGCCUAAUACAUGCAAGUCGAGCGAAUGGAUUAAGAGCUUGCUCUUAUGAAGUUAGCGGCGGACGGGUGAGUAACACGUGGGUAACCUGCCCAUGAGACUAGGAUAACUCCGGGAAACCGGGGCUAAUACCGGAUAACAUUUUGAACCGCAUGGUUCGAAAUUGAAAGGCGGCUUCGGCUGUAACUUAUGGAUGGCCCAGCGUCGCAUUAGCUAGUUGGUGAGGUAACGGCUCACCAAGGCAACGAUGCGUAGCCGACCUGAGAGGGUGAUCGGACACACUGGGACUGAGACACGGCCCAGACUCCUACGGGAGGCAGCAGUAGGGAAUCUUCCGCAAUGGACGAAAGUCUGACGGAGCAACGCCGCGUGAGUGAUGAAGGCUUUCGGGUCGUAAAACUCUGUUGUUAGGGAAGAACAAGUGCUAGUUGAAUAAGCUGACACCUUGACGGUACCUAACCAGAAAGCCACGGCUAACUACGUGCCAGCCGCCGCGGUAA
rnacentral:rRNA from 1 species